CCCUAUGGGGUGCACCAGUUCGAUUGGGGAGGCGCGCAUGGACAAGGACAACUCCACAUCCUUGAUGGUGAAAUCGACAAGGUGGAACUCGGAGCCGGGCGCGUAUUGGGGCUGAUUAGCCUGACCGAACUGCCGCGCCGUCUGAUGCUCGAUUUUGGCGAUGUGUUCGGUAAUGGCCUGCACUUUGACCGCUUGAGCAGCGAAAUGAACCUCAACGACGGAAGGCUUAACACCCCACGCUUUGAGCUGGCCAGCUCCGCACUCAAACUCAAGGUCAGCGGCUACAGUAAUAUGCUCGACCAAAGCCUGCACUACCAGAUGGAGGCGACCCCAUCCUUAGGCAACGUCCUGCCCAGCGUCGGCACGGUCGCGGGCGGCCCCAUUAUUGGCGGCGCAACCUUUGUGGCACAAAAAUUGUUUGAAUUGGCGGGAGGGC
rnacentral:rRNA from 1 species